AACUUUUGGCAACGGAUCACUUGGCUCUCGCAUCGAUGAAGAACGCAGCGAAAUGCGAUACGUAAUGUGAGUUGCAGAAUUCAGUGAAUCAUCGAAUCUUUGAACGCACCUUGCGCCCCUUGGAAUUCCGAGGGGCACACCCGUUUGAGUGUCGUGAACAUCCUUCAACCUUUCUUGGUUUCUUAACCGGGGAAGGCUUGGACUUUGGGGGUCUUUCAUUGCUGGCCUCUUUGAAGCCAGCUCCUCCUAAAUGGAUUAGUGUGGUCUGCUUUGCCGAUCCUUGACGUGAUAAGAUGUUUCUACGUCUUGGGUUUCGCACUGUCGCUUUAGACCCCGCUUCUAACCGUCUUGCAUUCAAGACAGAGUUUUAAACCUUGACCUCAAAUCGGGUGAGACUACCCGCUGAACUUAAGCAUAUCAAUAAGCGGAGGCU
rnacentral:misc_RNA from 1 species